rnacentral:rRNA from 1 species
UACGUAGGGUCCGAGCGUUGUCCGGAAUUAUUGGGCGUAAAGGGCUCGUAGGCGGCUCGUCACGUCGGGAGUGAAAACUCAGGGCUCAACCCUGAGCGUGCUUCCGAUACGGGCGGACUAGAGGUAUGCAGGGGAGAACGGAAUUCCUGGUGUAGAGGUGAAAUUCGUAGAUAUUGGGAAGAACACCAGUGGCGAAGGCGGCUAACUGGUCCAGAUCUGACGCUGAGGUGCGAAAGCGUGGGGAGCAAACAGGG